rnacentral:rRNA from 1 species
UACGUAGGGUGCAAGCGUUGUCCGGAAUUAUUGGGCGUAAAGAGCUCGUAGGCGGUUUGUUGCGUCGGCUGUGAAAUCCCGAGGCUCAACCUCGGGUCUGCAGUCGAUACGAGCAAACUGGAGUGUUGCAGGGGAGACUGGAAUUCCUGGUGUAGCGGUGAAAUGCGCAGAUAUCAGGAGGAACACCGGUGGCGAAGGCGGGUCUCUGGGUAACAACUGACGCUGAGGAGCGAAAGCGUGGGGAGCGAACAGG